UACAGAGGUGCCAAGCGUUAGGCGGAAUCACUGGGCUUAAAGCGCGUGUAGGCGGGUCGUUAAGUGUCCGAGUGAAAUCCCACGGCUCAACCGUGGAACUGCCGGGCAUACUGGCGAUCUUGAGGCAUUCAGGGGCGAGCGGAACAAAUGGUGGAGCGGUGAAAUGCGUAGAUAUCAUUUGGAACGCCAAUAGUGAAAACAGCUCGCUGGGAAUGAUCUGACGCUGAGACGCGAAAGCCAGGGGAGCGAACGGG
rnacentral:rRNA from 1 species